UACGUAGGUCCCGAGCGUUGUCCGGAUUUAUUGGGCGUAAAGCGAGCGCAGGUGGUUUAAUAAGUCUGAUGUAAAAGGCAGUGGCUCAACCAUUGUGUGCAAUGGAAACUGUUAGACUUGAGUGCAGUAGAGGAGAGUGGAAUUCCAUGUGUAGCGGUGAAAUGCGUAGAUAUAUGGAGGAACACCGGUGGCGAAAGCGGCUCUCUGGACUGUAACUGACACUGAGGCUCGAAAGCGUGGGUAGCAAACAGG
rnacentral:rRNA from 1 species